rnacentral:lncRNA from 1 species
GUGGCUUUGACAGGUCGUUCAUUUCUUAAAAUAGCUUCCUAUUGGCAGCUGUAGGCAGCAACAAACACAUUCGUCAUGGGUGGUUCUCAGUACUUCUACUAACAAGAAGUCAAAGCACUUCCUUAUACUCUCUCUUAGCUGAGAUGGAGUCGCCAAGUUUGGUUUUUCUAAGCUGUUUCCUGAUACAAUGCUUCGGGUCCACUCACUUUCAUUACCUAAAGAAAGAGGAGGAGGUAACACUGUCUUGUGAAACAUGUCAAUGGGAGGCUGAUGUGAAUUCAGACAACAUAGUGGACUGUGGUGUCAUAGACAGUAUUUAUAAAACAAACUCAAAAUGCCCGGCUCAAGCACAGGAGCUAUGCCAAGAGAUAAAGAGAAACAAAUCCACCAGUUGUGAAAUCCGUGUAAUGAGGGGAUUCUUUGCCUGUGUCAAUGCUACAUCUGACUCCUGCUUCAUGUAUCCAUUCAAACCCUCUUCUCAUCAUGUGGAGUCCUUCAUUGUUGCUCAGGCAGAACCAGACAUUGUGUCUGGACCUGUAAUGGACAAUUCAGUGCUUGUGUCUGGAGGAGAAUCAAUUAAUCUGACGUGCGGUUUUAAGACAAACAGGAGUUAUAACAAUACUCCUUUCGUGGUGUACUGGAUCAAGACUGGUGCUCAGAGCAGCACAUGUCUGUAUUCCUUUCAUUACGCUACAUUUGAUGAUAGUGGUGUUGAUGACCACUGUGCCAUUGACAGAGAUCUUCUGUUAAGGAGAUCAAACACAUCAAGACACUUCCUUGUUGACAACAACCAUUAUUUACACAUGGGACUUGGUUUCCAAAGGCAUUCAUGCUUAUCUUCAUAUGCUUGACUAAAUCAUUAUUGGUACAUUCUUGACACUAAACUAAACUAAAGCAUUUAACAUGAUAAUGUUUGUGUGUGUUGAAGACAAAUCAAAUACCACCGGAAAUACCACUGCUGGUAAAUUCAGUUUGACAUUUCAAAUGAAAUUAAUAAUAUUGAGCCCAAGUAAAUGCAAUGCAAUCUAAUGCAAGACACAAUUUGUCUCUAGAAAAUAAUCUUUUUUUUUUUAGGAACCCCCACAUAUGGUAGUACUGGUAAGCACAGCUGGAGGUGGGAAAGCAUGCAGUUUCCUCUGUUAAAAUACAAGGUAAAGCUGAAUCAAAAUCAUAUUUUCUGGUACCUACAGAUUCUCAUAACACCAUGAGAGUUGGUGUAUUAGUUGGUGUAUUAGUACCAGUUCUCCUCCUCCUCCCUGUCAUCAUCAUCAUCAUCAUCAUUAUACUGCUGAAAAGGAAAUCAGCUGAGACCAAAGGUGAAACAUGUAGUAGUUUUUUUAUGUAGUAGUAUUUUUAAUUAGAUAUUUUUUCAUAAAUAUACAAUUCAGCUGUUAUUAUGUUUUGUCUUUACAGUGUCUCAAACUGAAAUAACUCAAAGGUAACAUUUUAGAUUUUUGUGGUUGUUGUUGUUUAUUCAUUUUAAUUGUGGUGGGUCUCUGUAAAUGAAUGACAAAAGGGCUGUUAAUCCAACAGUAACUGUAUUGACAACUGUAAGUAUAAAGAUAUGAGCGUCCACACUGAUCAACCAUAGGGAAAACAUCUCAGAAAUAGAAUUUCACGUUUUAAUUUCGAUGCCUUUCAAAUUUGACAGAUUCUGAUUGGCUGUUAGUUUUUUAUCAUUCGCACAUUCGCUCUGAAAGUGAUGCCCAGCAAUAUUGUUCUUCAUUCCGUUAUCGUUAUAAUGUGUGCUGUACAAGUUGCCAUUGUAAUAAGCUCGAGUGAUAUGUGUUGCUUUUCUCUCAACUCUUCCCCAUGCUAUCCCUCCUCACUGCUGUCUCCUCUAGAUAUCAG